rnacentral:rRNA from 1 species
CCGAUUCGGGGAGGUAGUGACAAUAAAUAACAAUACAGGGCCAACGGUCUUGUUAUUGGAAUGAGAACAAUUUAAAUAACUUAACGAGGAUCAAUUAGAGGGCAAGUCUGGUGCCAGCAGCCGCGGUAAUUCCAGCUCUAAUAGCGUAUAUUAAAGUUGUUGCAGUUAAAAAGCUCGUAGUCGGAUGUCGGGCUCGGGCAGGCUGUCGGCUUCGGUCGGACGGCAGGCUCGGGUCUUUCUGCCUGAGGAUCCAUCUCAUUCACUUGGGGUGGGGACGCAGGCCGUUUACUUUGAAAAAUUAGAGUGUUCAAAGCAGGCCUACGCUUGAAUACAUUAGCAUGGAAUAAUGGAAUAGGACUUUGGUGCUAUUUUGUUGGUUUAUGGGACCGAAGUAAUGAUUAACAGGGACAGUUGGGGCCGUUUAUAUUUCGUUGUCAGAGGUGAAAUUCUUGGAUUUACGAAAGAUAAACUUCUGCGAAAGCAUUCGGCAAGGAUGUUUUCAUUGAUCAA